UAAAGCCGCUCGCACUCUUUUUGUGUUAGUUAAACUUCUCGAGUGUUGACAACAUGCAGCUUACUUUUGUAUUCACUCUGUUCCUGGCCCUGCUGGGGUCUCUAAUCAUGGAGGCAAGUGCCUGCAUCUGCCCCGCGGUCUACACCCCCGUCUGCGGCACCAAUGGGGUCACCUACAGCAAUGAGUGCCAAAUGAAAUGUGCCGGAGCCAAGAUGAAACGACGUGGAAAGUGUUAAAGGCUCACUUAAACAGGACUGAACGAAGAACCCUUUACCUUGGUAUUUAUUUACUUUAUUAUUAUGUCGAAUUGGAUGAUAAGUAUUGUAUGAGAUAAAUUAUUAUUCUUGAAUAAAACUUAAUUCUUUGUUCAAUUAUAAAA